AAAAAUACAAGAUUAUGCUCAUAAGAAACCAUAAACCAUCUUGAAAGUCUAUAAUUAAACAAAUUAACAAAAUAAAAUAUAACUUCCAAACGAACAUAAAAUAAAUCAAUAACUUAGCAAAUAAUAAGUUCUCAAAUUGGUAAUCACAUAACAAAACUGUAAUCUACUGUUAGAUAUAAAAAUGACCUAGAUGUGUCCCAUAUCACUUCUUAAUUGGAUGCUUAAAAGAAAUGUCGAACAUAUUUGAUUUUCCUAUCAUUCUUCUCAUUACCAUUAUUGCCUUUCCAUUCCUUGUCAUCUGCCUUCACUUGCAAUGGUGUUUUCUCUUCCCUUUACCUUUCCACAUAGAGGCACAAAAAAAGGGUAGAACAUUCUAUUCUAUAAGAAAAUAGUCCCAAUAAUUGAAUCUAGUAAUAAAAAGUCUAGGAAAAGCAAGACAAAUAAGUGUACACCUUUUUUUUUUUUUUUUUUGAUAGGUACAAAUAAGUGUACACCUUGGCACCCCUAAGGCUAAACCUUGAGGCAGAUACACUCAAGGUAUAAGCUUCGAGGCAUAUAAUGCUAGCCUCACUUGCAGCACACCUUAAGGUUUAAGCCUUAGACAAGUUUUUUCUUAACAAUGAUUUAGUGUUAUUUUCAGGCUAAGAUAGUGGUGGGAUCUCUAAUAAGAC
rnacentral:lncRNA from 1 species